GUGGGGAAUAUUGGACAAUGGGCGCAAGCCUGAUCCAGCCAUGCCGCGUGAGUGAUGAAGGCCUUAGGGUUGUAAAGCUCUUUCAGUAGGGAAGAUAAUGACGGUACCUACAGAAGAAGCCCCGGCUAACUUCGUGCCAGCAGCCGCGGUAAUACGAAGGGGGCUAGCGUUGUUCGGAUUUACUGGGCGUAAAGCGCACGUAGGCGGUUUGUUAAGUCAGGGGUGAAAUCCCACAGCUCAACUGUGGAACUGCCCUUGAUACUGGCAAGCUAGAGUCCGGAAGAGGUGAGUGGAACUCCUAGUGUAGAGGUGGAAUUCGUAGAUAUUAGGAAGAACACCAGUGGCGAAGGCGGCUCACUGGUCCGGUACUGACGCUGAGGUGCGAAAGCGUGGGGAGCAAACAGGAUUAGAUACCCCGGUAGUCC
rnacentral:rRNA from 1 species